rnacentral:rRNA from 1 species
UACGUAGGGAGCAAGCGUUGUCCGGAAUCAUUGGGCGUAAAGAGCUCGUAGGUGGUCUGUUACGUCUGCUGUGAAAACCUAGGGCUUAACCCUGGGCCUGCAGUGGAUACGGGCAGACUAGAGGUAGGUAGGGGAGAAUGGAAUUCCCGGUGUAGCGGUGAAAUGCGCAGAUAUCGGGAGGAACACCGGUGGCGAAGGCGGUUCUCUGGGCCUUACCUGACACUGAGGAGCGAAAGCGUGGGGAGCGAACAGG